AGGCAGUAAAGACAGAUUUUACCCAGUACAACUGCAGUGAGAGAAAGAGACUUCAGUAUAGAACUGAGCUCAACUCCAAUUCAGGUAGAGGUGACUGGGUGUUUUAAAGGGAGAAUAAGGAAGUAGGGAGGAGAAAUGAGAAUGUGUGGUUUAACAGUUGGUUAUGCUGUAUUUAGAAACUGUGAAAAGAACAAUGGCAAAAUCAUGGAGCCAACCUGAAUGUCAAUGAACAGUUGACUGGAUAAAGAAGAUGUGGUCCAUAUAUUAAUGCAUCAUGGAAUAUUAUGCAGCCAUCAAAAAGAAUGAAAUCAUGUCUCUUGCAGUGACAUGGGCUGGAGCUGGAGGCCAUUAUCCUAAGUGAAGUAAUUCAGAAACAGAAAACCAAGUACCACACAUUCUCACUUAUAAGUGGGAGCUAAACAAUGAGUACACAUGGACAUAAAGAUGGAAAUAAUAGACACUGGGUCACCAAAAGAGGGGAGGGUGGGCAGGGGGCGAGAGCUGAAAAAUUACCUAUGGGGUACAGUGUUCACUGUUUGGGUAAUGGGUACACUAGAAGCCCAAUCUCCAGUAUG
rnacentral:lncRNA from 10 species